UCCGCAAUGGGGGCAACCCUGACGGAGCAACGCCGCGUGCGGGAGGAAGGUCUGUGGAUUGUAAACCGCUUUUCUCUGGGAAGAAGAUCUGACGGUACCAGAGGAAUCAGCAUCGGCUAACUCCGUGCCAGCAGCCGCGGUAAGACGGAGGAUGCAAGCGUUAUCCGGAAUUAUUGGGCGUAAAGCGUCCGUAGGUGGUUGAAUAAGUCUGCUGUCAAAGACUGUGGCUUAACUAUGGGAAGGCAGUGGAAACUGAUCGACUAGAGUGUGUAAGGGGUAGAGGGAAUUCCCAGUGUAGCGGUGAAAUGCGUAGAUAUCGGGAAGAACACCAGUGGCGAAGGCGCUCUACUGGGCCAACACUGACACUGAUGGACGAAAGCUAGGGGAGCGAAAGGGAUUAGAUACCCC
rnacentral:rRNA from 1 species